UUAAGAAGAGAUGCACUGUGUGUUCUGGAAGGACAGAAAGACAGAACAGAGAAACAGACACAUAAAGAGGGCCCACGUUGCAUUAACCGCUGAGAUGAAUCAGCAUCCCCUCAACUACGCGUAUUCUCAAGCAAUAACAACGCCAUCUGUAUUAUAUACCCAAGAAUACCCGUUAUUGAAGGGAGCUAGUCAGUUAUCCAUUCCGCUGGACCUUUUUCAGCAAAAUCCCACCAUCAGGACUAUUUCGAGCAAGACAUCUUAACCUGUAAAGGUUUGUAUCCCGCCCUUUGGCCGAUCAGAGGCCUCUGAUAAGGCACAGCCUGAAACAGAAGAAUCAAAUAAAAGAGAAGAAGCCACUGAAGGACCAAUGGCAAAAGAUAAGCAAUGUGAAAUCCUGGGUAAUGUAUGUCUUCAAUGGAUAGGUGAGAAAUAUUUGAUGGGGAAGCUGUUUGCAUCCUAAUGCAAGGAAGAGAGAGAGGAAGGAGCUGAGGAGUGGAAUAACUGGAGUGUUUUCUUUUUCUCUGCCCCCUUCCAAACAGCUGAAUAAAAUCCCACUUUUUCUGCUUUGAACUGGAAUAUAUGGCAGUGUGAACUCAGAUCACCUAGCUCAAAGCAGAUAAUGUGGGAUGUUCCGCCUUGAUAUUUAGAGUUAUAUGACUGUGUAGAAAGGCUCUGAUUCUCUUCAAUGUGUGUUUAUAGAAUCUUUAGAAAAACACACAAGAUAGCAAAGCCAAGGUAAAGGUAAAGGUUUCCCCUGACAUUAAGUCCAGUUAUGACUGACUCUGGGGGUUGCUGCUCAUCUCCAUUUCUAAGUUGAAGAGCCGGCGUUGUCCAUAGACACCUCCAAGGUCAUGUGGCCAGCAUGACUGCAUGGAGCGCCGUUACCUUCCCACCAGAGCUGCACCUAUUGAUCUACUCAUAUUUUGCAUGUUUUCGAACUGCUAGGUUGGCAGGAGCCGGGGCUAACAGUGGGCACUCAUUCCACUCCCAGGAUUUGAACCUGGGACCUUUUGGUCCACAAGUUCAGCAGCUCAGCGCUUUAACACACUGUGCCACCAGGGGCCCCUCCGCCUUGAUAUUCAGAGUUACAGUAGAGUCUCACUUAUCCAAGCUAAACGGGCUGGCAGAAGCUUGGAUAAGUGAAUAUCUUGGAUAAUAAGGAGGGAUUAAGAAAAAGCCUAUUAAACAUCAAAUUAGGUUAUGAUUUUACAAAUUAAGCGCCAAAACUUCAUGUUAUACAACAAAUUUGACAGAAAAAGUAGUUCAAUACGCAGUAAUGUUAUGUUGUAAUUACUGUAUUUACGAAUUUAGCACCAAAAUAUCAUGAUAUAUUGAAAACAUUGACUACAAAAAUGGCUUGGAUUAUCCAGAGGCUUGGAUAAGCGAGGCUUGGAUUAGUGAGACUCUACUGUAUAUGACUGUGUAGAAAGGCUCUGAUUCUCUUCUAUGUGUGUUUCUAGAAUCUAUAGAAAAACACGCAAGAGAGCAAAGCCAAACUGUUUCCUAUCUACACACACACAUACUAUUUUUCGUCAGGUUUGUAUCCCGCCCUUUGGCCCAUCAGAGGCCUCUGAUAAGGCAGAGCCUGGGCCCUUCCACAGAAUAUAAAUACAGAAAAUCCCACAAUAUCUGCUUUGAACUGAGUUAUCUGAGUCCACGCUGUCAUAUAUUCCAGUUCAAAGCAGAUAAUGUGGGAUUUUCUGCCGAUAUUCUGGGUUAUGCGGCUGUGUGGAAGGGCCCCCUGAAAAAGAAGAAUCAAAUAAAAGAGAAGAAGCCACUAAAGGACCAAUAGCAAAAGAUAAGCAAUGUGAAAUCCUGAGGGGUUUUUUUUGUGUGUCAGGAGCAAUCUGAGUUGCUUCUGGAGUGAGAGAAUUGGUCGUCUGCAAGGAUGUUGCCCAGGGGACGCCCGGAUGUUUUUGAUGUUUUACCAUCCUUGUGGGAGGCUUCUCUCGUCCCCGCAUGGAGCUGGAGCUGAUAGAGGUAGCUUAUCCGCGCUCUCCCUGGGUGAGAUUCGAACCUGGCAGCCUUCAAGUCAGCAACCCGGAUGUUUUUGAUGUUUUACCAUCCUUGUGGGAGGCUUCUCUCAUGUCCCUGCAUGGAGCUGGAGCUGAUAGAGAGAGCUCAUCCGCGCUCUCCCCGGGUGAGAUUCAAACCUGGCAGCCUUCAGUUCAGCAACCCAACCUUCAAGUUAUCCCCUAGGCCACCGGAGGCUCCUGAGUAAUGUAUGUCUUCAAUGGAUAGGUGAGGAAUAUUUGAUGGGGAAGCUCUUUGCAUCCUAAUGCAAGGAAAAGGGAGGAAGGAGCAGGGGAGUGGAAUAACCUGAGUGUUUUCUUUCUCUCUGGCCCUUUCCACACAACUGAAUAAAAUCCCACAUUUUCUGCUUUGAGCUGGAAUAUAUGCCAGUGUGGACUCAUUUCAAAUGAGAUAAUGUGGGUUUUUCUGCCUUGAUCUUCUGGGUUAUAUGACUGUGUGGAAGGCCCCUCUCUCGUGGGUCUCUUGGGCAAAGUGGUGGCGGAAAGAGCAAGUAAAGAUGGGGGUCGGGGAAAGAAAGUCGGGCAGAACCCGUAAAGCCAAGCCAUGGGCGUCAAAAGGGAGAUUGAUAGGGAAAGAGCUGGGGGCGCGCAUGCUCAGAAAAAGGGGGGGUCAGUCCAUAGAGCCCUUUGCCGGCCACACCUUAAAAGCCCAAACCCAGGAACCCCAAGGAGACGUGAAACUCUUCCAGACCAAGCCAUUGGGGAGGCGAUGCAAUCCCACAACAUCCCUCCCUGACAUGCCACCCAGAAAGAGACAAAUAGACAGAAAGACAAGAUAUAGACAGCCCUCCACUCACCGGGGUGGGGGGUGUUGGGGAAGAGAGGCAGCAUUGGCUUGGCUUUUCUUUCCUUGCCCCCUUCUCUCCACGGUCCAGCUGAGGAAAGCCCUGACUUCCUUCUGGAAUCCCAUCCUGAUGUGUAUGAAGAUCACACCCUCCUCCUCCUCCUCCUUGUUCUCCCUCCCUCCCUCUCUCCCUUCCUUCUCUCUUCCCUCCCCUUUCCCCCAUCGCUGCCGAUGCUUCCUCUUCCCCACACCCACCCACGGUCCAGAAACCUCCAUGUUUCUGAGAGAGAGAAGGGAGAAGCAGAGAAAACGCAGCCCAUUCUACCCCAGGGAAGGGAGGAAAAAUAAAUCAACCCAACCCAGUCCUGCCUCGGAUGAUAUACACAGGCACAGCCCGCCUGCCUCCCCCAGGUCGCCUCUCAAUACUACGCUGCCCAGGAGGAAACACGAUGCUCUGCCUAGGCAGGGAGAGAGGAGAACCCACCCAAGGGAAAGGCUGGGAGUGGGUUUGUGGGUGAGAGAGUGACGUGGGAAGCCCGGAAAGAUGCCAUGCAGGGCAAGGGUCUCGCUUGUCCUCCUCUCCCGGCCCACAAGGAGCCACACAGGGGGUCCCAAUGGAGCAAGAAGGGGGCCAGCAAGGAAGGGGGCCGAUCUGGACAGGUGGGUGGCACCUCUGGGCUGGGAGUGGGCAUAGGCAGCCUUGGCAGUGAGCAACUGGGAGGAGGAGGAGGAGGAGGAGGAGAGCAAGAAGAAGAAGAGUGGAGGAAGAAGAAGAAGAGGAGGAGGAGGAGGAGGAGGAGGAGGAGGAGGAAGAGAGAAAGAAGAAGAGAGGAGGAGGAGGAAGCGGAGGAGAGAAAGAAGAAGAGAGGAGGAAGAAGAGGAGGAAGAGCAGGAGAGAAAGAAGAAGAAGAGAGGAGGAAGAGGAGGAGGAGGAAGGGGGAGGAGGAGAGAAAGAAGAAGAAGAGAGGAGGAAGAAGAGGAGGAAGAGGAAGAGAGAAAGAAGAAGAAAGGAGGAAGAAGAAGAAGAAGAGGAGGAGGGGAGUAGAGAAAGAAGAAGAAGAGAGGAGGAGGAAGAAGAAGAGGAGGAGGGGGAGGAGAGAAAGAAGAAGAAGAGAGGAGAAGGAAGAGGAGGAGAGAAAGAAGAAGAAGAGAGGAGGAAGAAGAGGAGGAGGAGAAGACAUGAUGGCCAUGUAUAAAUAUGUGAGGGGAAGUCAUAGAGAGGAGGGAGCAGGCCCGUUUUCUGCUGCCCUGGACCUCAUCACACCAGAGCUUGGAUCCACUUUAAAUCCACUUUAGGGAGGAGAGAGAAAGAAGAAGAAGAGAGGAGGAGGAGGAGAGAAAGAAGAAGAAGAGAGGAGGAAGAUGAGGAGAACAAGACAUAAUGGCCAUGUAUAAAUAUGUGAGGGAAAGUCAUAGAGAGGAGGGAGCAGGUCUGUUUUCUGCUGCUCUGGACCUCAUCACACCAGAGCUUGGAUCCACUUUAAAUCCACUUUAGGGAGGUGGAUUUAAACAGCUCAGCCAGACAGGUCCUGGCCUUCACCAAACUACAAACCCCAGAAUUCUGCAGGAGGCAGAAACCAGAUUCAUGCUCUAGAGUGAUGAGGCAACAUGGAAAAAUGGCACCAAACUACAAGAAAGGAGAUUUCACCUGAACAUUAGGAAGAACUUCCUAACUAUGAGAACUGUUCAACAGUGGAAUUCUCUUCCUCAAAGUAUGGUGGAAGCUCCUUCUUUGGAGGCUUUUAAACAGAAGUUGGAUGGCAAUCUGUCAGGGGUGCUUUGGAUGUGAUUUUCCUGCUUCUUGGCUGGUGGUUGGACUAGAUAGCCCAUGUGCUCCCUUCCAACGCUCGAGUCUAUGAUUCUAUAAUUCUGCAGCCACUGAAUUCACUCCAAGGACAGUCAGUUUGUUGCAUUGCUGGGGAUGCACCACUUUAACCGCCAUGGCUCAAUGCUAUGGAUGCCUGGGAGUUGGAUGGCCCAUGAGGUCUCUUCCAACUCUAGGAUUCUAGGAAGAGGAAGUCAAAGGGAAAAGAUAAAACACCUGGAUUGAGAUGUGUGCACUUUUCUCUUUCACUUGGUAGAAGGCCAGGCCUAAACAAGAGGGAGGGAGCCCCCAAUGGCGUAGUGGGUUAAAGCCUUGUGACUUGAAGGUUGGGUUGCUGACCUGAAGGCUGCCAGGUUCGAAUCCCACCUGGGGAGAGCGUGGAUGAGCUCCCUCUAUCAGCUCCAGCUCCAUGAGGUGACAUGAGAGAAGCCUCCCACAAGGAUGGUAAAAACAUCAAAACAUCCGGGUGUCCCCUGGGCAAUGUCCUAGCAGACGGUCAAUUCUCUCCCACCAGAAGCGACCUGCAGUUUCUCAAGUCACUCCUGACAUGAAAAUAAAAAAAAAAACAA